UCGAGUUGGUCGCAGUGGGUGGUGCGUGACAGUGCGUGAUAAUUGCGUCGCUCUGUGUUGGUACCCUACACAUUCGAUUUUGGGACAAAGAUGAGUAAUGAACCAGGUAACAUGAAGACAAACUACGGAAUGGGCUUCACCAUCCAGUCCAUAAUUGACGAAAAUGCUGACCUGCUAAAAAUAAAUCCAACAAACACAGAUGAGAAGAAGGAUGACGUCGGCUUCUGGUCGGGCGUGGACGCCCAGGCGGCGUUCCUCGGACCCAACAUCUGGGGAUCGCCCAACAACUCGGACUUCAAGCUGGAGCAGCUCGACCUGUCGGACUUUCUGGGCGAGAACGACCUGCUGCCGUCGGCGCUGUCGACGCCGGCGGUGAGCCCGGCGCCGCCGCUGACGCCGCCGCUGGCCGACGGUCUGCUCUCGCCUGCCCACUCGCCGUGCAGCGGCGGCGGCUCGGCACCGUCCCCGGACCCCACUCAGCAGCAGCAGCUGCACCAGCUGCAGCACGCCCAGCUGCAGCAGCAGGAGCAGCAGCAGCAGCAGCAGCAGCAGCAGCAGCAACAGCAACAACAACAGCAGCAGCAGCAGCAGCAGCAGCAGCAGCAGCCGCAGCAGCAACAGGAGCAGCCACAGCAGCAGCAGACCAGCCGUGGUGGCGAACAGAAGCCCCGCCGUGAGCGCUCCGCCCGGACGCCGCGCGUGCCCGUCAAGUUCCGCGUGUCGCCGGCCGACCUGGCACUGGCCUCGGCGCCCGGCGUCCAGUUCGACCCGCAGACCAGACAGUUCUCCGAUGACGAGCUCAAGCCGCAGCCCAUGUGCAAGAAGUCCAAGAAACAGGUGGUUCCGGACGAGGCCAAAGACCAGAAGUACUGGACGCGCCGCGAGAGGAACAACUACGCGGCCAAGCGGUCGCGCGAGGCACGCCGCCUCAAGGAGAAUCAGAUCGUGCUGCGCGCCAACUUCCUGGAGAAGGAGGUGAGAGCGGGCGGCUCAGGGACUGGCCGCAACCGGCUCGGCACUGACCGGGGCCGGCUCGGCACUGGCCGGGAGGUGAUGAGGACAGAUAGAUGGGACUUGCAUAGUCCGCGAUCCUGGAGUCGCGGACAUGUCGUGAAUAAAAUGUCGGAUGCUGGUUUACUACCAUUAAAUGCAAGGUCAACACGUUCAUCUAUUUUUUAUUGUUUUCUGGAAUGACGACUGUUAAUGGCCACGAGGACCCUUAGCCAUAAACAUCCACAAAAAACGUUUGGCAAAUUGUCUCGGGUCGUCAACAAAAUGACCGUAUCAUAGUCAUUCUUGUUUUAUUAGUUGAGUCCAUGCUUACUUGGCGUAUUAUUGAGAUUCCGCUGCAGCAUUGUAUCAUCCAGUUAACGACGGUCGUUCUCAUGCAUCCGUGCCAUCGAUUCGCCUGGUAUAAUGGCUACAUUAUUCAUACAUUCCAAGCACCAUUCUUGGAAAAAAAUAGUGUUCUGAAAAUUGUUGAAAUUUGCAACAUUUUCUUAAACCUAAAAGCUGACAAGCUACGUUAUCGUUGAUGAAUCCCAGUUCAUUUAGUAGUGUUCUUGCAGCCUGUCGCAUUUAUGUCAGAUGUAAUACAUCUCGUUAGCGAGUCGUCCCUGCGCCGGCUCGGUGACUCUGACUCAGCGUAGGAUCGGGUCGGGCGGCUGCCGUGAGUCCAAGACACGCUGUUUGUUUGUCUUGCAUAGUCUCCUAACGAACCGGCAAAGACACGCUGUUUUUUUUUGUCUUGCAUAGUCUCCUAACGAACCAGCGUUUCUAAACAAAUCAACAACUACAUAUAUUUUAAGUACAAAUUGUUAGUGGUCUGACGAGACUAGCGGUGCUGCCUUUUUGUGUCUGUGGAAAUUCACAAUGUGUGGUUAGGGAGCGCGAGGCGCGGGCGGCCGUUCUUGCGGUCUGGUCAACACAUGCUCAGUAAAUGGCACACCGCCGGACACCGCUGCCGCAGAGCUAACGACGUCGGUCACGCCAGCCGCGCAGGCGGCGCGGAUCGUUUUGCGUGCUGUGUGAUGGCUAUUGACAGGCGGAACUGUCGUUUGCGUGCGCGCGGGCAUCUCUUGAAUGUCGCGCGUUGACAAAUGAUGUCUUCAGUGACUGUGCUAUCCAUUACACAGGACAGUGAAUAAUGCCAAUUAAGAUACCGUUUUUGGGAAAAUGAAAUUCUGGUAUCAAGCGGUUUGUUGUUCAUAUCACUUUACAGUAUUAUGUACACUGCCUAAAUUUUCCUUUUCCAUUUGUCGAGGAGCCAGUUUUACCAUUUUCAUGCCUUUUAGGCCCUGUAACUGUUGAGUUGUGUUUGGCUGCGCGAUAAUAAUUCUUUCAAGAUCUUGUUUUUCAAUUAAUUUUGAUGGUGGGAGGCACGCAAUGCUCGCUCCCACGACCGUCGAAUCUGAUGUAAAUCAUGCGGACAUCAAAAUGCAUAAAAAGUGCGAAUGAUUCAUUUGGCCUUUGGCCAAAUGCUUCGAGAAAGCAUCCAUCGUUGCUUAGAACUGAAAUUAAGGCACACUUAUGUUAUCAUACUUCGUUAAAAGCGCUGUUCAUUUCAUUUGGUCGAGGCUCUAAUUUUCACCUUGGCGUGAUAGCGGUGAGUUCUGGCUUAACUCUUUGUUUUGCUUCAUUGCUUUUGUAAUGCUACCAAAGGUGCUCUAUAAAAUAGAAAAUCAGGACCGAUAGAGCGCACAGAGGCGCACAUUGUGACGGUUAUUUCAGUCUCGGGCGAUUGUGACGCAGCAUUUUACUGUUUACAGAACGUGGCCCUGCGCGAGUCCAUCGAGGAGAUAACGCGUGAGAACGAGCGUCUGAAGGAGCGGCUCAGCUCCUGUACCUGUCGCUAGAGGGCAGCUCCGGGCGGCGCCCGGGCAGGCGUGGCACACCCGGUGUACCCGCCCGGCCGCGGCAGGGCACGGCGCGCCCGCUGUACGCGCCGCCUGUUUUGUCACAGCGCUGGCGCGGCGCUGUGCUGUGUUUUGUCGGCUAUGGUACAAAAAGCGAGUACGGGCGCUCGGUGGCGAGCCGGAGAGGGCGAGCGAGCGAGCGCGGCCGGUCUGAGAGUGCGGAUGUGAUGCGGGGCGGCGCGGCCGGUCGGCCCGCCGCCGUGAUAGCGGGUACGCUGAGCUGCUGAUGUGAUGAGAGAGACGCCGGCCGGUGUGACUGGGUGCUAGUUGUCCGUGUAGACGUUAGGUUAGGGCGCCAGCCGCGGGCAGCCGCUGGUCUGCAGGACGAGAAGCUAUCUCUAUCCACUUUCCCCCUUUUAUGACGUUUAGCCGGUAGUGUGUACCCUCCCCUGCUUAGGUGUUAAGUUUAGUGUUAAGUGCUGGUUGUUGUGGCUUCUGUGGGCCUGCGUAAUCUCCGCGGCUGGCUUUGCAGCGUCACCGGCUCCGCCGAACGGCUGCUCUACAUGUCAUAACGUCGGUGUCUGGUGUCCGCGUUUAUCCGAAAUAAGGAGAGAGAAACUAUCGCCGAACCUGGUCAACGGACGCGGCGACUCCACAUGGUGCUCGGGUGUGAUACAUAAUGGUUUGUAACCCGAUAACAUAUAUAUAUUUGGCGCUCAACAGUAGACAGGUAAUCGAUAUUGACACUAUAUAUGUCAAAUAUAUUUUCGGCACUGAACCACA
rnacentral:misc_RNA from 1 species